GAUGAAGAACGCAGCGAAAUGCGAUAAGUAGUGUGAAUUGCAGAAUUCAUUGAAUCAUCGAAUCUUUGAACGCACAUUGCGCCCUUUGGUAUUCCAAAGGGCAUGCCUGUUCGAGCGUCAUUUGUACCCUCAAGCUUUGCUUGGUGUUGGGCGUCUUUUUGUCUCCCCUUGCGGGAGACUCGCCUUAAAGUCAUUGGCAGCCGGCCUACUGGUUUCGGAGCGCAGCACAAGUCGCGCUCUCUUCCAGCCCCAAGGUCUAGCAUCCAACAAGCCUUUUUUUCAACUUUUGACCUCGGAUCAGGUAGGGAUACCCGCUGAACUUAAGCAUAUCAAUAAGCGGAGGA
rnacentral:misc_RNA from 1 species